rnacentral:rRNA from 1 species
UACGGAGGGGGCCAGCGUUGCUCGGAAUUAUUGGGCGUAAAGGGCUCGUAGGCGGUUUGUCGCGUCGGGAGUGAAAACACGGGGCUUAACCCCGUGCCUGCUUCCGAUACGGGCAGACUAGAGGUAUGCAGGGGAGAACGGAAUUCCUGGUGUAGCGGUGAAAUGCGCAGAUAUCAGGAGGAACACCGGUGGCGAAGGCGGGUCUCUGGGCCGAUACUGACGCUGAGGAGCGAAAGCGUGGGGAGCGAACAGG